rnacentral:lncRNA from 1 species
AUAGCUGAAAAAAAAAAAACAAUUCCGACAUUAAUUAGCGCCAUCUGUAAAAUUCUAAAUUCUAAAAACUUAAACUCUAAAACCAUAAACCCUAAACUCAAACUCUACACAAUAAACCCUAAAUCCUAAAAUCUAAACCCUAAAACCUAAAUCCAAAACUCUAAACCAUAAACCCUAAAUCCCAAAAUCUAAACCCUAAACCAAAAACUUUAAAUCUUAAACUCAA